rnacentral:tRNA from 1 species
GCGGGAUUCGUAUAGUGGCUAGUAUGCCACCCUUCCAAGGUGGAGGCGAGGGUUCGAUUCCCUUAUCCCGCUCCA